CAUUUAACCGUUUGUUUGUAAUUUUAAACAGACGUUUACUUCUGACUUAUGUUGAAGCGUUAAUUAAUUUUUGCUUGUUAACCCGCUGUUGAUUAAGUCUUGUUUUUAAUUUGAUAAUUUUACAUGUUCUCUAGUUUCUGCUUGAUAGCUAUUAAGUUAUUAUAAUAUUGAUUGUUAUUAGUGUUACUGGUUGAUCGGUUGAACACCUUUUCUUUACCUGGUCACGGUUACUUGCCAUUUUUCAACUUCAUGCUUCUUUAUCAUUUCUUGGUGGUUAUGUCUUGAUGAUGAUAAAAAAAGGAGUUGCUUUAUAAACACAAGAUGACUUAACUGUUGGCAGGAAAUAUGCAAAUUUGAUCAGACAAUUAUCAUAACCGGAACCAAAAUGGCUACAUCGUAUUUCCAUUUACCAUGAGUGUCGUUAAAAUAAUUUAUUCCCACCUUUAGCAUUAUCUCAAUCACCCUCAAUUGCAUCAAUCAAUCGCUUUUUUUGGCUCCUCAUUCAAAGGGUUCAACUCAUAAACCUUGAAUCAAUCUACUUGCUAAACAGUUGAAUUGCCGGUGAAAAUGAUAAUUGAUUAUACAGACACAACAUUUCAUGUUAUGUUUUUAUUGUAAUUGCACAAAAGUGAUUUUUCUCAUUCUUUUGCAAUUCAACAGCCACAUCUUACCUGUUAAACAAUACAACUAUUGGUUAAACAUGUUCUCAUCAUUUUUUUGCAACCCUUGAAUACGUUAAUUAAAUGAUUCCGUGUGACAAUCAAGUUUACUUUGCAGUGAAAUUGUGAUACUUUUCACUGUUUACUUGAUUAAUGAAUCCUUCUUUUCACAUCAUCUUAUUAUUCAUUUGAGUAAUGAACACUCUUCUCAUCAUCAUCAUCAAUUCCCUUUAUCUUCAAGGUUUCAUUGUCAUUUUCAUUUCAUUAUCAUCUCUCUGCUACUAUUAUUAAUAUUACAAUGUGUAAUGAUAACUUUUCACAAGUAAUUCUUAUAUUAUUAUCAAAAUAAUAUUAUAUAUAAAGGAGAGAAAAGAUUCACGACAGGACAAAACUCGUUAAUCUUAAAGUGAAUGAUAAUAAUAUUGAUGAUGUUGAUGAUGAUUAUAUAUCGUUGGUGAUUGGGUUGAAAAUAAUAGAAAGGAAAAUAUGUCCAAAACAGUAAAGGUUAUCCUUUUUAGGGUAGAGAACAAGAUUGAUUAUUUUAACCUAGAAAAAAGUAAUAACCUUGUAAAGGAACCCAAAAAAAGUACCAAGAAAAUAGCAAUUCUUAUAUGCCUUUUGUACCUACUUUUUGCUUGUCUAUUUUAUACAUCAGUCGAGUCUCUUUUUUUUAUAUAAAUCCAUCAUUAAUCUAAACAUCAUUUUCAUCAAUUUGAAUCAUUAUUUUCAGCUUCAUCAUCAACUUAAUCAUUGAUCAAAGGAGGAAAAAUAAUCACAGCUACAAAUGGAUGACAUUUUACUGAAUCAACUUUCAUUUGCCAUAUUUCCAAGCCUCUUUUCAAGAUGAUUUCAAAUGGAUGCUGAUUAAUUAUUGGACUCAAUUGGACAGUGAAAGGAGAUAAAAAAUGAACCACAAUCAACCAAAGUACUGUUAAAACAUGACAAGUUAACCAUUGCAAUCAAAAUUUCAAUUGAAUUACCGUUUCAAUUGAAUCACCAUUUCAGCUUUAAUAACUCAUUAACCUGUUUUUGUUUUGUUACUGAUCUAACAAAUUAUAAUGAUUAAUACAAAUAGCUUAACUCGUAACUUGAUGACCAGAAAUGAUUAUUGAUUGCCUGAUGAGAUGAUGAAGAAACAAAAAAGAUUAAAUUAACAGCCCAACAAACAGUAAUAAUUGUAAUUAAUUUAAAAGCAAUCAACGAUUAACGCAAAAGCUUUUUGCUGUGUUUAAGAUUAAACUUCAAACCAUUAAUCAUUUCUGCCAUCACACUAAUCAUAAUUAACAUUAUGAUGAUGAUGAUGAUGAAAAAAAUUAAUAAUAAUAAUACGUAUAAUAAGCCUUUAACUAAAUAAAUGAUUGUAAGCGUAAGAAAAGGUUAGAUUGAAAUGGAUUGAAAAGUUAUCAUUAUACAUUUCAUUAAUUUAAUGCUAACCUGUUAUUAACUUUGAAUAAGGUAAAGGUAUUAAAUGAUUAAAUUGUUGUAACUCUCUCUCACUGUCAAGUUAAUUAAUUUUCAAAUAAACGCUAUUAACAGUCUUACCUUGAGGCUAAAAUUAG